rnacentral:rRNA from 1 species
UGAACGCUGGCGGUAGGCCUAACACAUGCACGUCGAACGGCAGCACAGUAAGAGCUUGCUCUUACGGGUGGCGAGUGGCGGACGGGUGAGGAAUACAUCGGAAUCUACUUUUUCGUGGGGGAUAACGUAGAGAAACUUACGCUAAUACCGCAUACGACCUACGGGUGAAAGCAGGGGAUCUUCGGACCUUGCGCGAUUGAAUGAGCCGAUGUCGGAUUAGCUAGUUGGCGGGGUAAAGGCCCACCAAGGCGACGAUCCGUAGCUGGUCUGAGAGGAUGAUCAGCCACACUGGAACUGAGACACGGUCCAGACUCCUACGGGAGGCAGCAGUGGGGAAUAUUGGACAAUGGGCGCAAGCCUGAUCCAGCCAUACCGCGUGGGUGAAGAAGGCCUUCGGGUUGUAAAGCCCUUUUGUUGGGAAAGAAAAGCAGCAGGUUAAUACCCCGCUGUUCUGACGGUACCCAAAGAAUAAGCACCGGCUAACUUCGUG